CUACGGAGGGUGCAAGCGUUAUUCGGAAUCACUGGGCGUAAAGGGUGCGUAGGCGGUUUGAUAAGUCUGAUGUGAAAUCCUAUGGCUCAACCAUAGAACUGCAUUGGAAACUGUCAGACUAGAAUACUGAAGGGGCAGAUGGAAUUAGUGGUGUAGGGGUAAAAUCCGUAGAUAUCACUAGGAAUACCGAAAGCGAAAGCGAUCUGCUGGGAAGUUAUUGACGCUGAGGCACGAAAACGUGGGGAGCAAACGGGAUUAGAUACCCCAGUAGUCC
rnacentral:rRNA from 1 species